CCCCCCUCGGCGUCGCUCCUGGAGAGUUUCCAGUACUCUACCAGUCUCGGCUACAGGAGGGAGAGUCAAGCAGAGACCUACCCAUUCCAGUCCUAGCUUGGCCAGUGGCAGUGAGUGGAAGGCAAUCUGCUGUAAGU